ACAAAAUAUUGAGUUUCCUGGAGAAGCCACUCCCUUUUGAGUUUCAGGCCCAGAGUGUCAGCUACUGAUUGCCACCUUAGGGACCAGGACCCUGCUCUCCUGCCUGAUUGGGCCCGUCCCGCUGCCGAGCUGGAGAAAGCCCGUGGGGCCCAGGCAAUGGUACCAUUUCCCAUUCUGUGGGGCUGGGUGCUCAUGGCCACCGUGACAACAGAUGCCUCAACAAGCUUGGUGGAGCAAAGGCCCAGGUGGGUCCUGGUACCUCGUGGACAAGCUAAAACCCUGCAGUGCAUCCUGAGGGAUUCCCAGUACCCCUGGAUGAGCUGGUACCAACAGGAUCUCCAGGGACAACUACAGCUGCUGGCCACCCUGCGGAGUACCGGGGAUAAGGAGGUCGUAUCCCAUCCUGGAGCAGAUUACCAGAUGACACGGGUCGAUAACACGGAGCUGAGUCUGCACGUGGCCAACGUGACCCAGGGCAGAACCCUGUACUGCACCUGCAGCAAAGACACAGUGAGACACCCUCCUUGGACAAAUGAAUAAAAACCAUCCUGGAUUGGCAACCACAGACCCAACCUCCUCCCCCGCCCCGACAGCCCCUGUAAGCCUGCUUCCUCUCCCCCCCAGAUCCUCCCUUGUCGCCUCUUUUCUAUAAACAGGCUCUUUUUUUCCCCCAGUUUAUUUAUUUUUGAGAGAGAAUGUGUGAGAAAGAGGCUGUGCACCAGGGGGAGCAGGAAAGGGGUAGAGAGAGGAAGAGAAAGAGAGAGAGGCAGAGAGGGAAUCCCAAGCAGGCUCCAAGCUGCCAACGCAGAGCCGGACCCGGGACUCCAUCUUGCAAACCGUGAGAUCAUGACCUGGGCCGAAAUCAGGAGUCGCACAGCCAACCGACUGUGCCUCUCUGUAGACUCUUCCUGCUGCCCUUUUGGUGAACGCUCCGCCUGAGUAGCAUGGCGAUUUGACCACAGGCUCCGAACGGCUCCGUUGCAGACCACUCUGCCACUUGGGACCUUUGGGAGAAACUUGGUUUCUGUGCCUAUAAAAUACAGACAGUAACUCCGCCCAGCUCAGAGCUUGCUGUGAGGAUCGAACGGCACGAUUCUUCACAAUAUGCCUACAUAACUAGCCAAUACAUUUUAAUACCAGAGGAGCGCUGGAAAGAAAUCUGGAGAAAUUCUGGGACCUCAGAAAGGAGGAAGAAUGCGUAUCUCAAUAGGUAGCCCCUUCAUCCACACCCCUAGAAUAAACACCCGCUUUUCCAAUUAGAUCCCCAUAUGCCGUGCUCACCACCACCUAAACAUCUCACACCCCAAUCUCAAGUUGAUCUCUUUUGAAGUAAAAUCCUUCAGAGAGGGCCUGACCUGGGAAGGACCAGGGUCUGGAGCCACAGCAGAGGGCUCGCCAAACGUCGACUAAAAAACCAUAGCUCAGAACUGGGUUUGCAACCUGAGCAAGGUCAUACACGGAGUGAGGGCCACACAAGGAGCCUAGGGCCCCAGGCAAAUGGACCAGAACCAGCAGGCCGGCGCAGGGCCUGGAGAGAGGCCCGGGUCCUGGGAGCCCUGCAGAGACGGUAGGCCGAGAGGCUGCUGCUCCACUCUGCCGCGAGCUCGGAACAUCUCUAUCCCAGACGAGCAGGUAACUGGGGUGCAAGGUGGGAGUGAACUAGAAGACAUCUCAAAGGAACCUCAGUCCCGAUGGUGGUCUGGGUGGCUGCGAGGCUGGGCCGCUGGCAAGUGUCCUUUCCUCAGUGCUUGUGGAGAGGGAGUUUGUCCACUAGGGGGCACCAUCUGCCCGUAGUUCUCCAUGAUCGGCUCAGACCGAUAGUCUGGCAUGGGUCACAGGUGAGUCUUCUCUCGGCCCCCUCUCCAGUGUGUGGUGAACACCUGCGCGGCUCUAGAGGACAAGAACGGUGAUGGGGAGCAGGGCUAGAGCCUGGCCCAGGGCACUGGGGACAUUUGGGUAUCUGUUCUCUCAUCCCUCCAAGAAGGGUACCUCUGAGAACGCCCCGCUUAGAUCCUUCCUCCGAGGCCAGCAAGAGGCUGUUAUACACCGAGAUGGCAGGGCAGAGAAGCCUGGGCCACCUGCCCUUAAGGAAAGCUGAGGCCCUCUGCUGGCAGCUUUUGAAACUCAGCCAAGCACCUCCUGCUGGAGCGAUGGAGGGCACCGUUGCUCUGGUUGAUGGGUUCGCUUCAACCCCAGUUCCCGGGAGCUCCCUGGAGACUUCCCAGAAGCAAAUCUGUUCACUUGGACCAUGAACUAUGCCUGAAUACCACUUCCUAGCCCCUCGAUUCCUAGCUGAUUGAACUAGCCCUCCUAGAUUGGCAGAUGGUAGGGAUUCACACUUUUUGAUUAGAUUAUCAAAUUUGAUUGAUGCUUUUGAUUAUUUUAUUUAUCCGUUAUCCAGAUAAGAAAUACUGAUCUAUGUGAUGUCGUCUCCUGUCUACAGGCUGGUGAGAGUGAUUUGUCCAUGUCUUUACAAAGUAUAUUUAGCUUCAUUUUCUCAUUCAAUACUUUCAAAUGCCCUCUUAGGCAAGUACCACCAUUUGUUGCUUUUUAUUUUUGCUUUUAUUUUAAUAGGGAAAUGGAUGCUCAACAGUGAUGUCACGCAGGUAAUCGUCAUACAGCUAGGACUCAAGUAGAGGAAUUCUAAGUCAGAUCUGUGACUCUCAACACCUCAUGAUGCUGCCUUUUUGCAUAAUGAAUACAUUGCCACCGGGACAAGGCAUCUCUGCCCCUUCCAGAAAGGCAGCUCCCGUCGUGGUGCAGACAUGGUCAGAGAGCCCAGGGAAGACCACACACGAUGUGGCAGCAAGUCAGGUGGGUGUCCUGCAGAGACCCUAAGUACCCUGCAGACUUGUCCUAGGAUUCAGUGGCUCCAGAUGGGAAUAGAGAGUUAUACAUAUUAAAUCUAAUUAU